UAGGCUUGACAUGUGGUGAGUAGCGAACCGAAAGGGGAGCGACCCGUAAAAUCGGGCCAUCACACAGGUGCUGCAUGGCUGUCGUCAGCUCGUGCCGUGAGGUGUUGGGUUCAGUCCCGCAACGAGCGCAACCCUCGCCCUUUGUUGCCAUCGGGUAAAGCCGGGCACUCUAAGGGGACUGCCAGCGACAAGUUGGAGGAAGGAGAGGAUGACGUCAAGUCAUCAUGGCCUUUAUGCCUAGGGCCACACACGUGCAACAAUGGCCGGUACAGACGGAGGCAAUGCCGAGAGGCGGAGCAAACCCGAGAAAACCGGUCCCAGUUCGGAUUGAGGUCUGCAACUCGACCUCAUGAAGUCGGAAUCGCUAGUAAUCGCAUAUCAGAACGAUGCGGUGAAUACGUUCCCGGGCCUUGUACACACCGCCCGUCACACCACGAAAGUUUGUUGUACCCGAAGUCGGUGCCU
rnacentral:rRNA from 1 species